GGGGAUUAGUGGCGAACGGGUGAGUAACACGUGAGUAACCUGCCCUUGACUCUGGGAUAAGCCUGGGAAACUGGGUCUAAUACCGGAUAUGACCUUCCAUCGCAUGGUGGUUGGUGGAAAGCUUUUGUGGUUUUGGAUGGACUCGCGGCCUAUCAGCUUGUUGGUGGGGUAAUGGCCUACCAAGGCGACGACGGGUAGCCGGCCUGAGAGGGUGACCGGCCACACUGGGACUGAGACACGGCCCAGACUCCUACGGGAGGCAGCAGUGGGGAAUAUUGCACAAUGGGCGCAAGCCUGAUGCAGCGACGCCGCGUGAGGGAUGACGGCCUUCGGGUUGUAAACCUCUUUCAGUAGGGAAGAAGCCGCAAGGUGACGGUACCUGCAGAAGAAGCGCCGGCUAACUACGUGCCAGCAGCCGCGGUAAUACGUAGGGCGCAAGCGUUAUCCGGAAUUAUUGGGCGUAAAGAGCUCGUAGGCGGUUUGUCGCGUCUGCCGUGAAAGUCCGGGGCUCAACUCCGGAUCUGCGGUGGGUACGGGCAGACUAGAGUGAUGUAGGGGAGACUGGAAUUCCUGGUGUAGCGGUGAAAUGCGCAGAUAUCAGGAGGAACACCGAUGGCGAAGGCAGGUCUCUGGGCAUUAACUGACGCUGAGGAGCGAAAGCAUGGGGAGCGAACAGGAUUAGAUACCCUGGUAGUCCAUGCCGUAAACGUUGGGCACUAGGUGUGGGGGAC
rnacentral:rRNA from 1 species